UAAGUGUGGUGCUCUGAUGUCG
rnacentral:miRNA from 1 species